UACGAAGGGUGCAAGCGUUAUUCGGAAUAAUUGGGCGUAAAGGGUGCGUAGGCGGCGCAUUAAGUCAACUGUUAAAUACCUCAGCCUAACUGGGGACCGGCAGUAGAUACUGGUGUGCUUGAGGAUGGAAGAGAGAAGUGGAAUUCUUGGAGUAGCGGUAAAAUGCGUAGAUCUCAAGAGGAACACCGAUGGCGAAGGCAGCUUCUUGGUCCAUUUCUGACGCUGAUGCACGAAAGCGUGGGGAGCAAACAGG
rnacentral:rRNA from 1 species